rnacentral:rRNA from 1 species
GACGUAGGGGGCCAGCGUUGCUCGGAAUUACUGGGCGUAAAGGGCGCGUAGGCGGCCUUCUAAGUCGAACGUGAAAUCCCCGGGCUCAACCCGGGAACUGCGUCCGAUACUGGAAGGCUUGAAUCCGGGAGAGGGAUGCGGAAUUCCAGGUGUAGCGGUGAAAUGCGUAGAUAUCUGGAGGAACACCGGUGGCGAAGGCGGCAUCCUGGACCGGCAUUGACGCUGAGGCGCGAAAGCCAGGGGAGCAAACGGG